rnacentral:rRNA from 1 species
UACGGAGGGUGCAAACGUUGCUCGGAAUCAUUGGGCGUAAAGCGCACGUAGGCGGUCCAGCAAGUCGGGUGUGAAAGCCCUGGGCUUAACCCAGGAAGUGCAUUCGAAACUGCUGGACUUGAAUACUGGAGAGGGUCGCGGAAUUCCCGGUGUAGAGGUGAGAUUCGUAGAUAUCGGGAGGGACACCAGUGGCGAAGGCGGCGACCUGGACAGAUAUUGACGCUGAGGUGCGAAAGCGUGGGGAGCAAACAGG